CCCCGCGUGGAGGCCGGGCAGCGCGCGGAGGGCUGCUGAAGGCUGCGGACGGGACAGCCGCCUGCCCCGCGCGCUGUCUGAUACCCAAACCCCCUCACCUCCAGAUCCGCCGCGGAGCUCGCGCAACGAGCGCUUUCAUUUCUCUAAUCCGCUCAGUAAACACAGCGCGGACAGGCCAAGUCCGCAAACGAACGAGCGCCUCAGAGAACGCGCCCAUUUAGCAGCAGGCUCGUUUCGCGCUGGAGGAAGACAGUUGCCAUCGGACGCGCGUGUUUACAAACACGUGAACGCGCUUCGAGCGUGAGCCUGUGGUUAAAAUGUCCCGCUCGCCCCCAGUUAGAUCACUGAGCUCAUCCCGCUGUCCCUUCCGCGCAGGAGCGACUCGAGCCUAGAGCCGUGGAGUCUGAGAACGCAGACUUAAUGUUUUAUAAGUCUCGUCCAGAUGAUCAAACUGUCCUCUUUUCUUUUCUUUUUUUUUUGAAACGUGCUCAGUACUUCAGUUGGACGGGGAUCCGCUGAGUCCAGAGGAACAGCAGCGCUCCUGCGAGAGCACGAGGAUGGAAGGAGUAAAGAUCAGCGGGUAACAGGUGGGGGCGCUCUAAUGACCCUCUGGAAUGGGGGGGGAUUCCUUUCAUACCACACUGUGCUACCGCUCAGCCCAUCAGUAAAGCCGACACAGGGCUUCUUCCAUGCAGUGACGUAAACGUCUCCACUGAUCCAGAGAAUUAAUGCAGCAUUAAUGCGGAAUUAGCGCCGCAGUAAUAGUGCAGGUAUGUCCAUUAAUGUGAGACUAAUGCAACGACAUUAUAUCGGCUGUAAAUACAGACACGCAUGAAUGAAUGAGCGCAGUUAAAACCCUGGCUGUGUAAUGAAGAGUAGCUCUGUAAAUGGACUCUGUAGAUUCUGCAUAAAAUCUUUGGUGGUUUAAGUUCAAAUAAUCCGCCCUAAUGUUUUAUUCUUCUGAACAUUUAGUAAAACGUUGACAGAACAUAAAACACUGGUUAUUGUUAUUAGUUACAUGCAAUUAGAGGCUGAAUAGUCGGGAUUUAAGACAGUCUGGUUAUUUGGUUUCAGUAGUACUAAUACAGGGUGUUGUUCUGUACAGCAGUUCUGUCAAAUAUUUCAGUUCCAGCUACACAGGAAAAAAAAGAAAGAGAAGAAAAACAAAGAUCUCAUUAGGUUUACGUGUUUCCUUUGUUUCCAGUGUGCUCUGUAAUCCCUCUCUAGUCUCUGGCCUUUAUGCUGGAGGCUGACCUCGUCCUUUCCUCUUCACUGACCACGCUUUGUGUAUUUAAAUGCAACAAGUGCUCUGCUUUCUUUCUUCUGCUUCCUUCAGACGCGGAGUCGCCUGACGAGAAAGAAACAUUUUAAUAGUCACCUUUUUAAACGGUCUCUUGCGGUUGAGACUGUCAGGUUUUCGGUGAUGUUUCGUUUCUGAUCGACACGCGUCAGGAGCGUUUGAGAAAGUCAGACGCUGAAGAGCUGAAGCGGACAGAGCGCUUGAGUCUGUCUGUUAAACUCAAACUGAUUUAUUACAUCGCGGUAGAUGUUUGGAAAGACAAAGUGGCGGAGGGUCUUUGGGAACAGUACCAUUCAGAUGUUGUCCUCUUCGGGGGCUGAUGAUUAUGAGCUUAUCCUCAGGCAGUAGUAGCCUUUUCUCCGUUCAGGAUGAGUGAAGCUCUCCUCCGCUGAGGAAGGCAGAGUCGCCGCCUGCGCUCACAGUAUCGCAGACAUUAAUAAACAGGCACACAGAUGCAUUUAGGGGUGAAAAACAGCCGCUAUCAUUUGCCAUUUAAAACACUGUGAGACUAAGACUGGCAGUUUUACUGUCCGCUCGGUUUCGGUCAGUCCGCGGAGGAUCAGCGCUUCUGUCUUUAGGCUAAGUUAAUCAAACUCAGCUCUCUCCCGUUAACCUUAAAAACAGCCGUUUGCACGACGUUGGUGUCGACACAGCCUUCUUCAUCAGCUCGCUUCACACCGCGGCUGGAUCUGGGUUAUGAUCAACACCUCCAGCGAGGCUGAGUAAGAGAACGGAUGAUGAUGAUUGAGCUCAGCUGUUUAUUCCCUCUGAGCUCUUCAUGUAUUUCGUUUUAUCUUUUUUCCUUUUUGGUUACUGAAUAUUAUGCGCUGACCAACACGUUUAAAGCUGCCGGUUGAAUCAAUUCAUUAUAUUUAAAUUCUAAACGAUAAAAACACUUCAGUAAAAUAGACCUUUUUACCUUCUUUGCUCGAGUGCGACGUUGGUAAAUAAAUAUACUUUAAAUGUAAUUCUCGAAUAUUUAAACGCAUUCAGGCGCUUUUUCAGGAGGACAGCUGUAAAAUAUGACGUGUGCCGAGCUUUUACUGAACUGUGGCUUUUUAAAUUCAUAAUGAAUUUUUAAUGCAUUUAUUUUGAGCUGCUGCAAACGAAAGCAUUCGUAUUUAACAAGCUGCCUUAUUCAGGGGGAUUUAAACACUGAGACAUAUACACGCUUAAACACGCGUUAAGGCAUCAGUGUGUCCAGCCGGAAACAACACAUUUUGUAUGGAAAUAUUUCUGUGCUCAGUUACGAGUAACACAUUUGGGGUUACCUUUAAUGCAGAAUGAAGAAAUCAGAAAACAAUAGGGCACCUGUUAAAAUAGGCAUCACGAGUCAGUGUGUCGUUAUUUAACACAUCACUUUUAAGAGUGUAAAAGAAAAGAAAUACGGGAGAAACGAUGUAGCAUUUUUAUAUCAACAGGUAUCUUAUAUAAACUGAGCCAAAAGUGAUAGGAAGAGCUAGAGCGAAACAAAAAGGUACGCACAAUAUGAGCAGUAUUCAUUCGGACAAACCAUCCGUCAUCCAUACAGAACAGCCAAGCCAGGACUCACGAUAAUGUUCAUGUCUCGCUGGUCUCUAAGAAAUAAAACGUUAAACUCUACAUUGGAGAGAAAUGACAGAAUCCGUUUUUUCCCAGUAUGUUGUCUUUGUUCUUUUCUGCAUGUUUUCUGUAGGUGACACUCCAAGAGAAACUGUUUUGUAGUCUCUUCAUUCGCCACUCAGCUCGGUUAACUGCUGAAGAGAGCAGGCGUGCCAGCCCAGACUGCUGAAUUCCCAUUCAGACUCUGUAAGAGCAGAGGACUGGACCACCAGAGGCUUUGCUUAACACCAACAAGCCUUAACAAGCCCCCUCACUGUAGAUUGGAUUGAGCUCACGUAAAACAAUCAAGUGUAAAGGCUCUCUGAUUCAGAGUGGUCACCUCAUCUUGCCUCCAAAAUCAAGGUGGCAGUGGCUGGACUCAGGAAUGCUCCAGUGUGAGAAUAAAGAAGCCCAUCUCCCGCCAUUGUCCACUCUGUCUACUGUUGGUCAUUAUAGGCAGGUGUGAUGGCUUUUAUCAGGAGCGAGAACCUAAGUUCAUUCAGUCUGCAAAUUACUUCCCAAGGAGCUGCCCGGCGUCCAGCAGGCACACGGCGUACGACCCUGGCUGAAAAGGGGCCUGAGCAGGUGUAUGUGCACUAGAGUUCAUCUGGGAAAUCUGGAGAAAGGUGAGAUUAAACAGGUUCCCUUUUCUCAUUUAUCCCACAUACUCCUCUGCAGUGUGCAGGUGUAGAGGGUUUUGCCCCGGCGUCUCCUGAAUCUAUCACAGGGUAAAAUAAAAUAGUAUUUGGAUGUGCUUUGACUUUUUGUAGUUUAUCUUAUUUUUUAUAUUACUAAAAACAAUGUUUCCUGAAGCUCUGCUGAACCCUGCAUCUUACUAGAGAAAAGACAGUGUCAUCAUUUUCUAAGCAUUUGCAGUUCAUCUUCUUGUGUUGCUUAAAUAUUUCACAGUUAAGUAUGAUUGGUCUUAUUAUGUAAUCAGAUGAAAAAUUGCAACACAUUAAAAAACACAAGACAAGUUAAUAAGCAGGAAAUUAAGAGUGAUUUACAAAUCAGUACAAACAGUGAUAGAAACAAUCCUCUGAACUGUAUGUCUGUGUUUAUAUGAUUCUCAUCAUUAAAGAUCAUUGUGACGGUA